GGAGCGGUGUCCGAGUGGUUUAAGGAGGCGGUCUUGAAAACCGUUGAACCCAAAGGUUCCGGGGGUUCGAAUCCCCCCUGCUCCG
rnacentral:tRNA from 1 species